rnacentral:rRNA from 1 species
UACAGAGGGUGCAAGCGUUGUUCGGAAUUAUUGGGCGUAAAGCGCGUGCAGGCGGCUUUGCAAGUCGGGUGUGAAAGCCCUCGGCUCAACCGAGGAAGUGCGCCCGAAACUGCAGAGCUUGAGUACCGGAGAGGAUGGCGGAAUUCCCCAAGUAGAGGUGAAAUUCGUAGAUAUGGGGAGGAACACCGGUGGCGAAGGCGGCCCCCUGGACCGGUACUGACGCUGAGGCGCGAAAGCGUGGGUAGCAAACGGG